rnacentral:misc_RNA from 1 species
UCUAUUAUUUAGGAAUAUUUAUAUGGUUCUAUUAGGUUUAGUAUUUUGUUAUUUAAGAAUUUUUUGUGAUUUGUAAUUCCUAAUUAGUAUUUGAUUACCCUUGGAGAAUUUUUUUCUCACCCCCUAAUCCUCAAUAUCCUAUUGGUUCUACAUAACAUAGUUAACAUACCAAAUUUGCAAUAUGCCUCAGAGAGACAGAGUCACAACGCACGAGAGAGAAACAGAGAAGACCAACCUCAUUGAUAUUGUAUCUUGACUCACGAAGCCUCUCAGCCCAAAAGCUGAUGUCCCAAUGACUUAAAUCAUUCACUUCUAUUGCACUUUGAUUU